CAUAUUUGAUUAUAUUAGAUUGCACUCG
rnacentral:sRNA from 1 species